AUUAAUUAGUUAAAUUUAUACAUAUAAUUUCAACAUAUUAGAAUAUUUUAAUCAUCCUUUAGUCGUUUUUAUAAUUUGACUAUGACGUAAAAAAGAAACUAUGUUAUAAUAAUAGAAUAGUAAUCAUUGAUUAGAUAAACUUUUAGGUAGGUCUAUUUUCAUAUUUGAAUUUUUAUCAUACUUUAGAUGCCAUUCUCACAGUAUAACUACGAUGUUCAAACGAAACUGUGUUAUAGUAAGAUAAUAAUCGUCGAUUAGAUAAACCUGUGCAUAUACUUCCGAUAAAUCCUAAUAUUUUAAUCAUUUUCGUGUUUCGUAUUGGCGUCGUCAGGGCAAACGUGGAAAUAAAUAAAAUAGAAUGAGACAGGGUAGGGAUUGAGAUGUGGAGGGGAAUUGACCUUGCCUCUCAGCGAUGGGAUGCGAUGCGAUGCGAUGCGAUCCGAUGAGAAAGAAAGAAAGAGAGAGAGAGAGAGAGAGAGAGAGAGAGAGAAAGAGAGAAAAAUGGAGGAGGAAGGGAGAAGUGGAGAGGAGAGUAGGUGAGGUGAGACGAAGCGAGGCGAAGCGAGACGAUGGUAGGAACGAAGUCUCGAAGGGAGGCAAGGGUAUUCCCUGAGGUGGCUUCGACUUUCCAUUUCUGGUAUAUGGCGAAUCAGCAGCAUAUAGAGUGAACUAAACGAAAGAGAAUUUCGAAGAAUACAUUUUCGUAAGCUUUUCGAUUGAGAAAACGAAAAAGAAAAGAAUAUAACAAUAACAUCAACAAUAAAAAAAAGAGAAGAAGAAAAAAAAAACAAAAAAGAAAUAAGCAAGCUUACGAAUCAGCGACGCGUGUUUUAAGACUUACCUUUCUCCGCAAUUUCUCUGACUCGCUCUCACCAUUUUAUACUCUUUUUCCACGCGUAAGUAAACCUCCUAAAUGUCUUUCGUUCGGACUACUUUGACUAAAGAUGAGAUUCGAAUACGAUCCUCUAGGCGAGAAACGUACAGCUACCUCGUGGAACUCGUCGACACGAAGGAUAUAUAUAUAUAUAUAUAUAUAUAUAUAUAUAUAUAUAUAAAAUAUAAAAAAAAAAAAAAAAACGAGUUCUUCGCCGCAGAGUGAAAUUUAAUAACUACUCUGCAUCAGGCUUCUCGACGAAGCUCUCUUCUCUCGAGAUACAACCUUUCUCUCUAUUUCUCUAUCUCGUCUUUCUCUUUCUCGUAAUCGUGUCUUCUUAAAUUGUCGAAAGAGAAGAAGUGGUAAGCGUUUUCAGGAAGACAGAGGGAUAGUAUUCUGAACUGUCGACAAGGUCGAGACACUCUUUCUCUCUUUCUCUUUCUCUCUCUAUCGUAUAUGGCAAAAGGUAGAUUCAUCAGCGAAUUAACGGGAGAAUCGAGUGGCCCGUCUCUUUUCUCGAGGAGGACCACAGAACGGAGGCCGCCUACGGAGGUGGUGGUGGUUCUGUGCGGAGGUUGCCGUGUUGGCAAAGGAAGAGAGGGGGAGUACUCCCUCUCUCCGAUACUGGGGAGAAAAAGAGAGAAAGAGAAAGAGAAAGAAAGAGAGAGAGAGAGAGAAAGAGAGAGAGAGAGAGAAAGAGAGAGAAAGAGAGAGAAAGAGAGAGAAAUAGAGAGAAAGAGAGAGAAACACGCUCUCCUCCGGUGCACACUCUCGCGGUGACUUCGACCGGCAAAGUGCUCGCGUUCGUGAAAGUCCACAGACGACUUUCAGGGUCGUCUGCUUGGCUCCUUAGCACAAGCUCUCCUUCUCGUUCGCUCUCUCGAUCUUUUCCUCGGUUCGUCCGGAACUGACUGUUUUGUGAAAAAGGAAUCAUCGCAACGAGCUAAGAUCGUCGCACUCGUAAGAACGAUUUGUAACGCGACGUACCUACCGGUUGGAUCUUUUAGAUCUACACUCUGCUGCUCUCUUUGAUUAUUUAUUCAUCGCGAUCAUCAGACGGAAGCAAGAAUCGUAUAUCAUUGGUGUUGUAUGAAUAGAGAAGAAGAAGAAGAAGAAGAAGAAAAAGGAAGGGGAAGAUAGACCGUAAUAGAAGGUCAUCGAACAUUUAUUUACAUUAGUAAACGAAAUGAGUUCGCGCCUUCGCAGUUCUUCAAUGUCGAAGGACAGACCAAAAGCAACGUCAUUUGGAAGCGAUACGUUUUAUUACGAGCCGGAAGAACGAAAUGAUAAAAGGAAUGGCAAAGCGGCGCGGGAAAAUAGUUAUCGCUUUGGAGAUUUUCGUAGGGAGUGUUCUGAGAGAAAUGGUAGACGGUUCGGAGAAGAAAUCGAAGAGGAUCCAGAUAUUCUUUAUAAGAGAAGCAAGGAUCGGUUUGCAUCAUGGGAUAUGAAAGAUAUAGCUGGACGUAAGGAAAUAGAUGAAAAGAAGAAGGAAGAUGAGGAGGCGGAGGAAGAGGAGGAAGAGGAGGAUGAUGAAGAUGUGAAUGAUAACAAUGAUAAGCCACCGUUGCUUUACGAGGAAUACGUCACAAGUCCGAGAAAAGAGAAUCAAAAAGAAAAGAUUAUCAAUCGAGAAAUACACGGAUCGAGAAAAGACGAGAGGAGGAAGAAUGAAGAUCCCUCGGAAGGAGUCGAUUCACGAAAUUAUAUGUUCGCGGAGUCCUCGGCUGUUCGAAGAAAUGGUGAGAACCGGAAGAAAACGAGUUUUCCUAGUAUCGAUGUACGAACGGAUACAGAUCAUAGGAUCGGAGCGAUGAUCGAACGAUUGAAAACACGCGAAGAGGAUAAGUUGAGAAAUAGAAGAGAACGGGGAAGUCCGGAGAGAGGAGGGAUUAUUUCGUCAACGAUCGAGGAUCGUCGUCAACGUCGACGUCGACGUUGUCUCGUCGACGAAGAGCUUGGAAAUCGUCAGGAGGAUGAUACAAAAACGUCUGUUGGUUACGAUCAACGUUUCGACGAUUUCUGUAAAUCGAAUAGAGGCGAGGAAACGCGCGAGGAUCGUAGAAGAUCGAGGAGUAUCGAGAAAGUUUCCAGAUAUGAAUUAGGCCGUGCAAGGAGUAACGACGCGAAUGGUUUUCGAGAGUUAGACGAGCGAAUUCCAAGAUACAUGCUUCGUGAAGCCGAGUCUCAUGUUCGCGAGGAGAUAUUUGGGUUGAACGUCGACGACAAUGUUCGACGUAUAGAAGGUAGACGUGCGCCCUUCGAUAGGGACAACGACCGUCGAGAGAAGGAGAAUUCUUCGAGGAAGAGCCAAGACGCGUACGUAGUCGAAAUCACUCGUAGACGAUCAAGAUCCAAGGACGUCGAGGAGGAUCGAGCUCGUACGAAGGACGAGACGAAGAGUAGUAAUAGUAGUAGUACUACUCGUCCAUAUGAAGUAUUGCCCGGGGAAUUUGAUGUUAGAAUACAGAGAUAUGAAAGAGCAACGGUCGAAGAUAAGAGGGAUCAAGAAUAUUUAAAAAAAAAUCUUCAUGAUCCUUCGAAGGAGAGAGAAACGGUCAGGAAGAUUUCUUUCAGCGGAGACACGGAUAUGUGUUCACAAAGGAUGCAUUCGAAGAAAGAGAUCGGUAUAACGAGGAGAACGUCUUUCAAGGAUCAGGAUAAUGAGAUACGAGGACGGAAUCCAUUCAAGAACGAUUCAGAUGGUGGAAUUAAAUGUACGAUAAAGAGUCGAAAGAGUGACGUCACCGAGAGGGAAAAGACCGAAUUGGUAGAUAGUGUCGAUUUAGGAAGAAGGAGUUCUUUCAAAGCGAAACAUCCUGAAUAUGGUAAGAUCUCAUUUGAGGAAGAAGAGAAAGAAAAAAGAUCGUCGAGAGACCAUACACGAGUCUCUAAUGCAAGAAUAAUAUCAUUCGGGGAUGAUCAAAUUGUUGGAGAAAGAAAACGGACUCCUGAUAAUCAAGAUCGUGGAAUAAUUACCAGUAUCUCUUUCAAGGACGAAAACUCCGUCGAAUCGACUACGAGUCCUAUACGUCGAGUCUCGAAAGAACAGAGAGAAAACGUCUUAGGUAGACGAAUUUCUUUUAAGGAUCGAGGGAUCGAAUCUGAGAGGGAACAUUCUUAUGGGGUUUAUUGCGACGUUGGUAAGGAUCAAAACGAAGAAGAAUCAAAAAGGCGAAGUAGUUCGUUCGAUGAUCGAUUCGUCGAAUCUGAUAGAAAUUUUUUCACGAGUCGCGAGAGAGGGAUAUCUAGUGGAACGAGUCCUUGGAAGGAUAGAAAUGAUAUAGAAUCGAGAGUUCGCUCCUCGAAUGGGCCAAUGAUAAAGAAAGUAAGUGAAGAAGGUACUCGGGACAAAAAAUUGGAAAAGCAUUCUCGAGCUUUUACAUCGGGGAGAGUAGAUGAGGAUAUAAAAGACAAUUUUCAAGAAACGAAGGAUCGAAAGGAUUUUUGGCGCGAGAGUAACAGACUCUUUGCUGCAAGAUAUCUUAAAGAGAAUGGUAGAGGGAGAAGAACAGAGGGAGGGAUCUCAGGAAAGGAGAAUAAUGGAAGUCUUGUCGAAGGUGCUUACGAGGAGGACGAAGGAGACGAAAGCGAAAUCGAGCAAGAAGAUUCGAUUCGAACGAACGGUCGCCGAAUCCCUGAUAAUCGAGAUUUUGAUUCGAAGGGAAGAAUCGCUCGUGAACGAAAUGGUACGACUAUUGUAAGAAUUCGUCCUAAUAUUUCGGAAAAUUCGAGACGACGUCGACGUAUGCAAGAUUUUGGUUUGGAGCGACGCAAAAGGUGCGAUGUGUCUUCACAGCGUUAUGAUAGCGAUGAGGAAAGUGGAGAGGAGGGUGAGAAGGAGGAUCAGAGGAAGGAGGAGGAGAAAGAUAAGAAAAAAGUAAUGCCGAUUGUAAAGGACGAUGAGGAUGCUGACAACGAGCAACGACUGGAUUCUUGGCGUGGAACUCGUAGAGAUGGCUUAAUACCAGGAAUACCCCAUGGAUCUACUCCCUCGAGAAGACUUUGGAAUUAUCGCGAAGGGGGUGUCCUGAUCACGGACGUCGAGGAGGGACAGCCAUGUUUACAGUGUGGAGACGUGUGUCCUGGAUUUUCCCCACAUAUUUGGAGGUGUUCAAAUACGGUGAGUCUCGGAUACCGUCGUUCUCACCCACGCAUUUACGAGUGAGAUCACCUUUAUACUUUAGACUUCAUGCUGCGAUGAAGGUGUUAUGGUGCGAGAGUCUUUCCUGUCCUUCCAAGAAAAAUGUAAUAUAUUAAUGUAGGAUUUAUAGAAUUCGUAGGAUUCAUCGUGGAGAUCCGACGAUAUUGAAAAAAAAAGAAAAGAAAAAAAAUAUACAAUAUUUCCAAGAAAUGAUAUUUAGUAAUCGAUUAAAAAUCAAAUGGAGAAUAUCAAGAAUAAAGAUAAAGAUCAUGAUAAAAGAAGUUUAACGACUGAUAUCUGCAACCUUUAAAGACUCAUUCUUCAUGUGUUACAUUUUAUCUAUCAUUAAGUUCUGCUGUUAUCAGCGAACCGUUACUUUAUCAUAUUUGCAACUAUAAUCUUGUAAAAUCUACUAUGAUCCUGUAAAAUUUAUUCAUUAAUGGAAAUAGAAGUCGAGCAGAAUGUAACUGUGAUAAAAGAGAGUUAGAGAGAGAGAGAGAGAAAAGAAUGAAAAAAGUCAUUCAUUCAAAAAAUAAAUAUUUGUGUCUUAGAGUUUAGAUAAAAUAUUAAUUGAAUUCGGAUGUUCUUUUUUUUUGGAACAUAAUGGGCGUGGUACAUUAAAACGAAUAAUUCUCGCAACGGAUCGAAACAACUCAUAAGGGUUUGUAAUUUGAGUUUAACAAUGAAAGGGUAGCCGUUGACAUUUCUAGUAAAUAUCGUGCUUGCCCUAUUAACACAUGGGUGGGCAUGCUUGGGCUAAGUCGUUUAGCGUAGAAGCCGUAAGGUAUUUGGCAAACAAAUCGAAACCUGAGAGACCUUUUCAAGGAUUCCAAAUGAUAUUUUUAUAUCUUACUCUACUUUUAGAAACUCGAUGUUCCUUUACUUUUUCAAAUAGAAAAAGAAAUUUCAUGUUAAAUGUUAAAAGGAGAACGUAAUAUUUUAUUUAUUUAUCGUAACUGUUUUCCUUUUUGUCAUAGUAGUUUGUCGUUCUAGAUAAGAAAAUACUUUCUUCGAAGAAGAGAAUUUCUUUAUAUUUCAUCAGAGAGCAUUAACAUUUCGUGGAUGAUAUUUUUGAAGAUAGUUUCUCGACUCGUAUGCGUUUGGCACGAUUCCUGGUCAAUUUCUUCUUGUUGAUUCGUCGCGAAUGCUCCUCUGACACAUAUCUCGUGAGUGCGUGCGUGCGUACGCACGCGAGUAUUUAUUUACGAUGAGGGAAAAUUCAUUCCGUGCGAAAAAAAUGGGACAUAUUUUGAAAGUCUCUGAAUUAAGGAGAUGCCCGUGACAACGAAUUAUUCGAAUAACGAAUAUUUCUCUAGAUAACUCUCGAAUACUUUUUAUCCUUACGAAAUAAUUGUUGAUCAUUAAAGAUCAAGAUUAGUUGAAAGGGAGAAAGAGAGAGAGAGAGAGAGAGAGAGAGAGAGAGAGAGAGAAAGAGACGGAUGCCGCAUAUAGUUCAGUAUAUGCUACAACAGUAGAGCUUUGUGAGAUAUUAAGGCUGUUACAAAAACAGAAAUUGCAUUUAAAAAAAAUUGCAUAAUUAAGAUUGUUAUUUUUUGUUUUGUUAUAUUACUAACUUAUUAAUUCGAAGGCAGUGUAUGUCUCACGGAAAAUGUUUUAUUUUUUAUUUUAUUUUCCUGUAUCCUUAAAUAUGAGAAUUGGAUUAAAAAAGAAGUUUUACAAAAUCCUUUCUUGUUACAAAAUAUUUUGUUUUGUGGUAUAUUUGAUUUUCCCCAUGUAGUUGUAAAUUAAAUGGAUAAUAAUUAAUAAAUACCAAAAAGUACAAUUAAUAAGAAUCUUAUUUUUCGAUAUUUUCUGUCGUAGUUGUCCAUCUUGUACUAAAUCAUUUAUUUUAGUAUCGACGAUACUACAUUUUUUGUAAGUACAUAUAUACAAACAUAUGUAAUUAUUUACAUUUUUGUCCAAAGAAAAGAAACGAAAAGAAACAUACAAUUCGUGUUUUCUCGCUCACAUAAUCACAAGAAUGUCGUGUGUGGGUAAAGGAAAUGCGUGUUGUCAAUGGAAUUCUAAGAAUUCUUCUUCACUAACGAACUAUCUUGACACUUACGAUAACAUAUGUGAAUUCCCUGUUAAAUCCGAAUAUAAAAUAUUAUAGAAUAAAUUAUUAAAUAUAAUUUAGUGGACAAAAGUGUAGAUAUAAAUUAAAUUAAAUGAGAUCGUUAUGUUCAAUUUGAGAGAAUCGUUGAGAAUUCGAUGUUUCGGUUGGCGUUGAUUCGAUCAGCUGACAUUGACAGCGCCUUCUUAGACAGUAAGCGAACGAAUGGACACAGUGAGCGAGCUUACUCAGAAAAGUUCGAGCCGUCUAUCCGAUGAUUUCAAGUUGCUGCUACUCUUCUACUUCUUCUUCUUCAGUAUAUUCCAGUGCGCUAAAAGAAUUGUACGAGUUGCAAGUGUCCUCGAGAGGAUCAUGAUGUGUGUCAUGAGGAAUGGGCAUCUGUUAGAUCCCGAUUGGGACUCAAAGCAGACGAAUCGAAUGGUCUCCCUGGUUUCUCUGAUCCAAGAGAAA